rnacentral:rRNA from 1 species
GAACCAAUAAGAAGCUUGCUUUUUGUUGGUUAGCGGCGGACGGGUGAGUAACACGUGGGUAACCCGCCUGUAAGACCGGGAUAACUCCGGGAAACCGGUGCUAAUACCGGAUAGAUUAUCUUUCCGCCUGGAGAGAUAAGGAAAGAUGGCUUUUGCCAUCACUUACAGAUGGGCCCGCGGCGCAUUAGCUAGUUGGUGAGGUAACGGCUCACCAAGGCGACGAUGCGUAGCCGACCUGAGAGGGUGAUCGGCCACACUGGGACUGAGACACGGCCCAGACUCCUACGGGAGGCAGCAGUAGGGAAUCUUCCGCAAUGGACGAAAGUCUGACGGAGCAACGCCGCGUGAGUGAAGAAGGUCUUCGGAUCGUAAAGCUCUGUUGUUAGGGAAGAACAAGUAUCGGAGGAAAUGCCGGUACCUUGACGGUACCUGACGAGAAAGCCACGGCUAACUACGUGCCAGCAGCCGCGGUAAUACGUAGGUGGCAAGCGUUGUCCGGAUUUAUUGGGCGUAAAGCGCGCGCA